CUUUCUUUCAUAGAAACCUACAACAAAGAUUUGAUUUGCUCUCAUUCUCUCUGCAGCCAGGUUCAUCGUUGUCUCUGUGGGUUUAUCAGCUCUCAUCAUAACUGUUGUGACCGUCAACAUAUGGACAAGAACUAAAGGGAAACAAUCACAGAGGAAUGAUAAGGUGGUGGAUGAGGAUGAUGAAGAUGAGACAGUGAACUAUGAAAACAUCAGAGCUUCUGCAGAGGAUUGACCAACACUUGUGUCUCUGUCAGACUACACAGAUCAACAACAUCAUGAUCAGAGGAGUUCAUGUCAUCUUUCCUCUACAAGAAGGAGAACCUCCCUAAUCCUGUCACUAACUCUUGUAUUGAAGAUCUUGGUUUUCCCUUGAAAAAGGAGCCGAAAUAUGAUCAAAUGUAAAUCAACUGAAAAUGAGCAGACAUGUAUAAAUGUAGGCUUCUGUCUGAAACUAAGGAUGCACAUCACUCCAUCAGAUUCCCUUUAUAGACAUGAAUGUAUGUGUUUAAUAUUUAACCACAUCCUGUAGCGCCACCUUUUGGUGAAAUAGCAAAGAAGCAUGAGGAAUCAGUCUCUAUAGAUA